rnacentral:rRNA from 1 species
AUUGAACGCUGGCGGCAUGCUUUACACAUGCAAGUCGAACGGUAACAGGCCUUCGGGCGCUGACGAGUGGCGAACGGGUGAGUAAUGCAUCGGAACGUGCCCAGUCGUGGGGGAUAACGCAGCGAAAGCUGUGCUAAUACCGCAUACGAUCUAUGGAUGAAAGCGGGGGACCGUAAGGCCUCGCGCGAUUGGAGCGGCCGAUGUCAGAUUAGGUAGUUGGUGGGGUAAAGGGUCACCAAGCCAACGAUCUGUAGCUGGCCUGAGAGGACGACCAGCAACACUGGAAAUGAGACACAGUCCAGACUCCUACGGGAGGCAGCAGUGGGGAAUUUUGGACAAUGGGCGCAAGCCUGAUCCAGCAAUGCCGCGUGCAGGAAGAAGGCCUUCGGGUUGUAAACUGCUUUUGUACGGAACGAAACGGCGAGCUCUAAUACAGUUUGCUAAUGACGGUACCGUAAGAAUAAGCACCGGCUAACUACGUGCCAGCCGCCGCGGUAACAC